UUACGGCCACAUCUAGUUGAAACACCGUUUCCCGUACGAUCACCGAAGUUAAGCAACGUCGAGCCUGGUCAGUACUUAGAUGGGUGACCGCUUCGGAAUACCAGGGGCUGUAAG
rnacentral:rRNA from 1 species